rnacentral:tRNA from 1 species
GUAGUUCAGUGGUUAAAGAGUACUGGCUGCUAUUCCAGAGGACCUAGGUUCAAUUCCUAGC